UAUCGAAGUGUUGUGAUAGAAAUCUAAAAAAAAUUAAAUGGAGAAAUCUUCUUCAGUUAUUUAUUAACGAUAUUAAUAAAGUUUUGAAAAUGUUAGAUGUAUCUAAAAACUUGAUAUUUUUGGUAAGUUAUUAUUUUAACUUUAAUGAUUUUGUUUUAGUAUACCCCGUUAUUCGGCGAUGAAUUGAAACUUAUGAGUUAGUUUAUAUAUUCUUUAACACAAUGCAACAAAAAUUGGGUGCUCUUAGGUGCUCUUUAGAGAAUCGAGGGUCAAUUAGUUUUUCACUUUCUGAUAGAAAAUACUCCUUACUUUAUGCAACGUUUUUUAUUUUUAAAUUAAAUUUACUGAUGUUAUUAGUGUAUUUUAUUUUGGGUGAUCUUAAUCAAGGUUG